CAGGCUGGUCUUAUGAGAUAAGAAUUUUGUUUACAUUAAAAUUGAGAUCGUGCAAUUCGGUACAGCUUGA
rnacentral:tRNA from 1 species